UGCUGAGACUGCAGUACAUUCUUUUAAACAGUCUCUUCUCAAAGAACAUGAGGCUGAAAAACCAUUACAUCUCCACAUGGACGUGAGGCAAGACCUUGAAGAGAGGGAGAAGGCGUUGCUAUGUUUUUAUAAAAGGCCAAACACUGACUGGGCAUGUCCCUUUGAAUGCACCCUGCAUGGUGAUGCUGCUGUGGGGGAUGGAGUGAAUCGUUACUUUCUGGCCACUGCAAUGUCAAAACUUCAGUACGGAUUUGAGCUAAAUUUGGGUCCACUGACAUCAUCGCUCAUCUAAAGUCGAUCUUCGCUCGCCAUGGCAUCCCGG